rnacentral:rRNA from 2 species
AACUUAAGCAUAUCAUAA